GACGAACGCUGGCGGCGUGCUUAACACAUGCAAGUCGAGCGGUAAGGCCCUUUCGGGGGUACGACGAGCGGCGAACGGGUGAGUAACACGUGGGUGACCUGCCCUCCAGCUCUGGGAGUAAGCCUGGGAAACUGGGUCUAAUACUGGAUAUGACUCCACGGUGCAUGUCGUGGGGUGGAAAGCCUUGUGCGGCUGAGGAUGGGCCCGCGGCCUAUCAGCUUGUUGGUGGGGUGAGGCCUACCAAGGCGACGACGGGUAGCCGGCCUGAGAGGGCGACCGGCCACACUGGGACUGAGACACGGGCCCAGACUACUACGGGAGGCAGCAGUGGGGAAUCUUGCGCAAUGGGCGAAAGCCUGACGCAGCGACGCCGCGUGAGGGAUGAC
rnacentral:rRNA from 1 species